rnacentral:rRNA from 1 species
AUACGGAGGGUGCAAGCGUUAAUCGGAAUUACUGGGCGUAAAGCGCGCGUAGGCGGUUAUUUAAGUCAGAUGUGAAAUCCCUGGGCUCAACCUAGGAACUGCAUCUGAUACUGGGUAACUAGAGUUUUGGAGAGGUAAGUGGAAUUUCCGGUGUAGCGGUGAAAUGCAUAGAGAUCGGAAGGAACACCAGUGGCGAAGGCGACUUACUGGCCAAAAACUGACGCUGAGGUGCGAAAGCGUGGGUAGCAAGCAGGAUUAGAUACCCUAGUAGUCC